rnacentral:rRNA from 1 species
GACGAACGCUGGCGGCGUGCCUAAUACAUGCAAGUAGAACGCCGUUGCGAACGCGUGAGUACCGCGUAUGUACCUGCCUCAUAGCGGGGGAUAACUAUUUGAAACGAUAGCUAAAACCCCCUACUGUGAGAUAGACCUGCGUUGUAUUAGCUAGUUGGUGAGGCAAAGGCUCACCAAGGCGACGAUACAUAGCCGACCUGAGAGGUUGAUCGGACACACUGGACUGGGACAAGGCCCAGGCUACUACGGGAGGAAGCAGUAGGGAAAUAUCGGCAAAGGACGGAAGGCCGACCGAGAAAAGGCGGGUGAGAGAAGAAGGUUUUCGGAUCGUAAAGCUCUGUUGUUAGAGAAGCGGUACCUAACCAGAAAGCAACGGCUAACUACGUGCCAGCAGCCGCGGUAAUAC